AAAUUGAAGAGUUUGAUCAUGGCUCAGAUUGAACGCUGGCGGCAGGCCUAACACAUGCAAGUCGAACGGUAACAGGAAUCAGCUUGCUGAUUCGCUGACGAGUGGCGGACGGGUGAGUAAUGUCUGGGAAACUGCCUGAUGGAGGGGGAUAACUACUGGAAACGGUAGCUAAUACCGCAUAACGUCGCAAGACCAAAGAGGGGGACCUUCGGGCCUCUUGCCAUCGGAUGUGCCCAGAUGGGAUUAGCUAGUAGGUGGGGUAACGGCUCACCUAGGCGACGAUCCCUAGCUGGUCUGAGAGGAUGACCAGCCACACUGGAACUGAGACACGGUCCAGACUCCUACGGGAGGCAGCAGUGGGGAAUAUUGCACAAUGGGCGCAAGCCUGAUGCAGCCAUGCCGCGUGUAUGAAGAAGGCCUUCGGGUUGUAAAGUACUUUCAGCGGGGAGGAAGGGAGUAAAGUUAAUACCUUUGCUCAUUGACGUUACCCGCAGAAGAAGCACCGGCUAACUCCGUGCCAGCAGCCGCGGUAAUACGGAGGGUGCAAGCGUUAAUCGGAAUUACUGGGCGUAAAGCGCACGCAGGCGGUUUGUUAAGUCAGAUGUGAAAUCCCCGGGCUCAACCUGGGAACUGCAUCUGAUACUGGCAAGCUUGAGUCUCGUAGAGGGGGGUAGAAUUCCAGGUGUAGCGGUGAAAUGCGUAGAGAUCUGGAGGAAUACCGGUGGCGAAGGCGGCCCCCUGGACGAAGACUGACGCUCAGGUGCGAAAGCGUGGGGAGCAAACAGGAUUAGAUACCCUGGUAGUCCACGCCGUAAACGAUGUCGACUUGGAGGUUGUGCCCUUGAGGCGUGGCUUCCGGAGCUAACGCGUUAAGUCGACCGCCUGGGGAGUACGGCCGCAAGGUUAAAACUCAAAUGAAUUGACGGGGGCCCGCACAAGCGGUGGAGCAUGUGGUUUAAUUCGAUGCAACGCGAAGAACCUUACCUGGUCUUGACAUCCACAGAACUUUCCAGAGAUGGAUUGGUGCCUUCGGGAACUGUGAGACAGGUGCUGCAUGGCUGUCGUCAGCUCGUGUUGUGAAAUGUUGGGUUAAGUCCCGCAACGAGCGCAACCCUUAUCCUUUGUUGCCAGCGGUCCGGCCGGGAACUCAAAGGAGACUGCCAGUGAUAAACUGGAGGAAGGUGGGGAUGACGUCAAGUCAUCAUGGCCCUUACGACCAGGGCUACACACGUGCUACAAUGGCGCAUACAAAGAGAAGCGACCUCGCGAGAGCAAGCGGACCUCAUAAAGUGCGUCGUAGUCCGGAUUGGAGUCUGCAACUCGACUCCAUGAAGUCGGAAUCGCUAGUAAUCGUGGAUCAGAAUGCCACGGUGAAUACGUUCCCGGGCCUUGUACACACCGCCCGUCACACCAUGGGAGUGGGUUGCAAAAGAAGUAGGUAGCUUAACCUUCGGGAGGGCGCUUACCACUUUGUGAUUCAUGACUGGGGUGAAGUCGUAACAAGGUAACCGUAGGGGAACCUGCGGUUGGAUCACCUCCUUACCUUAAAGAAGC
rnacentral:rRNA from 2 species